rnacentral:rRNA from 1 species
GACGGAGGGUGCAAGCGUUGCUCGGAAUCACUGGGCGUAAAGGGUGCGUAGGCGGUGUGUCGCGUCGGCCGUGAAAACCUGGGGCUCAACUCUGGGCGUGCGGUCGAUACGGGCAUCACUUGAGUUCGGCAGAGGAGACUGGAAUUCAUGGUGUAGCAGUGAAAUGCGUAGAGAUCAUGAGGAAGACCAGUGGCGGAAGGCGGGUCUCUGGACAGUUCCUGACACUGAGGCACGAAGGCCAGGGGAGCAAACGGG